UGGGGAAUAUUGGGCAAUGGAGGAAACUCUGACCCAGCAACGCCGCGUGGAGGAAGAAGGUUUUCGGAUCGUAAACUCCUGUCCUUGGAGACGAGUAGAAGACGGUAUCCAAGGAGGAAGCCCCGGCUAACUACGUGCCAGCAGCCGCGGUAAUACGUAGGGGGCAAGCGUUGUCCGGAAUAAUUGGGCGUAAAGGGCGCGUAGGCGGCUCGGUAAGUCUGGAGUGAAAGUCCUGCUUUUAAGGUGGGAAUUGCUUUGGAUACUGUCGGGCUUGAGUGCAGGAGAGGUUAGUGGAAUUCCCAGUGUAGCGGUGAAAUGCGUAGAGAUUGGGAGGAACACCAGUGGCGAAGGCGACUAACUGGACUGUAACUGACGCUGAGGCGCGAAAGUGUGGGGAGCA
rnacentral:rRNA from 1 species